rnacentral:lncRNA from 1 species
AAACCGAGAAAGGAAGGCUUCUGUGAUUAGAACCGAACGGAGGCUAGGCAAUUAUCUGCUAAAUCCAAGCGGUGGGAAGUUAAGAUGUAACUGAGCUUGGGCGGUGAAUUGAGACAGCUGUCAGGAAGGAAAUGUUACUAAGCCAGCUGAGUAAGCAAUAACUAAAUAGAGAGCAGCUUAAAAGAAACAAAAAAAAAACUGGGCGGUGACCGAAAGGAAACAAUCUGUUCUCCUUAAUCAAUAAGGCCGAGAGAGUUGAGAAGAAAAGUUGUCUCCCUUUCUUGCUUUCUUCCUAAAGCAGACUCGAGUGAGUGAGACAGAGUGUGAGGGAAAAGAAAGUGUAAGCUUCACCAUCAGCUAACUAUACGAACGAAAACAGAAGGGAGGUCGAGUGAGGAGUUGUGAUAGCAAACUUGAGCAGUCUGCAUUAUCGAUUUGUAAGGGAAAAGAGGUAAGAAUCUACCAUAACCUUCUGCUUAUUUGGCACAAAUAAGUAUAUAUACAAGCUGCAUGUUAGUUUUAGCAAGGCAUAAUGAGUUUUAACCGAGGAGAAAUCUGAUAAAGGAGAAAAAGAUGAGAACUGGACAGAAAUGGAGGGAACCGAGAGUUGUUGUUGAGUUGCAGCCCAUAAAUAAAGAAAAUUUUCCGUAAUAACCUCUUAGUUAUUCAGUACACUUGAAUAUUAAGGUUGCAUGUUGGAUUGUAGCUAAGAAAAACUAAGCUUGGUUGAAGGAAAUAGUUGGAAGUUUCUGCUAUGCUGGCCGAAGGAGGAAAGACAGAAAUGUCCAAGUUUCUUUAUAUAUUUUGGUUCUAAACUCCUACGUUGAGGCUUAGUUCAUUGCAUAAUAUUUUAGUUUUGGCAUGCAUGUUAGAUUUGGGUAUGAAAUGAAGUAGUUAAUGGAGGAAUUUCUUGCUAAAAGAUUGAUUGCUGUCCGAAGCUUUCUAUCAAGGCCGAGAGAGAGAGAGAGAGUUAAACCUCUGAUCAGUUUUUCCUUCAAACUCCACUCUGUAAACUUUCACAUCUGAUAUCUAAAGUUACUGGGUAGUUUAAUACUUGUAUUUGGCAUGAUGAGCUGGAGUUAAAAUUGAAGGAGUUAUGGUAAAAAUGUUGCAUAUUAAACUGCGGCACUGCUAGAAGCUUUAGUUGUCCAAUGUCUUAGCUGAUGUCAGAUUGUUGUGCGUGGCUGUUGGGUUGAAUAAUCUGUUGAAACUAGAUGCUCUUUGUCUUGGUUUAUGCUGGACUGAAUGUACUUUAAAUAUUUAGAGCUUUAAGCAAGUGAAAGAAUAGCGUUUUCGCUGAAGGUUGAAGUAACGUUACUAGUUUUGGUUGCUGUCCCAGAAAUGAAACAGAUUAUGCUUCUGACCGUCCCAUUUUGGCCUUGAAAACGCGAUAACUGGAUGUCGAUGUCUUCAUAGGAAAUGUAGGUCUAGGUUUUAGCUUCGAAACGCUAUAAAAUUCGCCUCAAUCCGAUAAGCGUAACUCCAAUUAUGAUCAAAACACCCGAGGAUGGCAAAGCUGCCUUUCUUUUUGUUCCCGAAUGCACUUUGCUAAGAUGCUAACUGUGAGGAACCAACUUUUAACCAGCAUUUCCUCUAAUUUUCAACUUUGUAAGCUUUCAUAAAUGAUAGUUACGGUUAGUCUGAGAUUUAAUGGCUAUAUAUAGCUCCACAAGUAGAGUUAAACUAAAGUAAAUGAGAGGAAAACUCAUGAUAAUUAAAUUGGCUUCUAAUUACUUAAUACUGCCUUUACAAAUAAUUUAAAGACUAUAAAAUUUGAGGGACUGGUGUACUGGAAUAAAAUUUAAUUUACAAACAAUCUAGAGUUUAAUUAAUUAAAAAGGCGACCAAUAGAGUGCUCCUAAGCCAUAAUCUUAGAAUCUUGAGUGGAAAAUGAUUUAAUUCUAGAAUAAAUAUCUUAUAAAUUAUUAACUUGGGAAAACAGGUAUAAUUCUUGAUUAAAACAAUAAAGUCAAUAAGUUUCAAAAUAAAAUGAAAAAUGAAUAUUGAAUAUAUUAUAUUUGUACUUUAAAGUCAAACUUGAUUUUAAUAGUUCAAGUGAUAAAGUAAGAACAAUAAGUGAACAUCUACAAACUAUGUAUUUGAUUUGGAAUUAUUAACUUGUCCAGGAAGUAGCUGUGAACCAGAAAAUCGACUCGAGACUCGAGAGUAAUUUAUUUGGAUAUUUGGUGAGUGUUUUCUGAAUUUAUGUGUUAAACUGCUUAUGUGUACCUAAGUGCAAUUAUAUGGCAAAUGUGCUUAUUAUGAAAUAUUGCUAAGUGAUUCAUUGGAAGCGUAUCUCAAUUGUCCCUCGUCUUCUAAGUCGAGGGUGUACUUUAUCGCACUUGACUUAGUUGAACUUGAAGAUUGAUAAUUGAUCAAGUGAUAUUGUAAGUGUGCAUGACUGUAAGCCGUGUGUGUACUUUAUCACGCCGGCUGAACUGGGCCCCAAAACCCUCUGUUCAACGGACUAUUCGAGCCAGCAAAGGGCUUGGUCGGGUAGGACGGUAGGUUUGGGUAAGUGUUUUGGUAUGCUUGAGUAUUACCACGGUGUACUAGAUUACUGAUAUUGAUAUGGCCAUCCAAGUGAGGGAAGUGUUUAUUGUUUUGGAGGUUAUAAGGAGGAGUUCGGCGGAGUGUGUAGUGCAUUGAAGUGGCUCUAAUGCGAGCACCGUAUCCUUUUAAAAGUGAUUGUUCAGUGAAGUGUUUCCUCAAUUGCUAAUGAAAGUGAUUGUACAGUGAAAUGUGCACUAUUUAUUUAAUUGUAUUGAUUCAUGUGAUUAUUAAAUGUUACUUGCAUGGAAACCUCACGGGCGUAAGCUCACCCUUUUAGUUUUGUUUUCCUUACAGGAGUCAAAGAUUGAAGAGUGAUUGGAUUGAACUAGAAAGUUAUUUUGGGAAGAUCCAUUAUUCUGUGUAUAUAGUGUAGGCAUGGUCUCUGUUGAAUUUUGAAACGGUUGAAUUUUUGUUUGAGUUGGUGUGAUAUUAAGAAUGGAUAUUUAGAACAGGUAUUUUGUUUCUUUUAUUGGACAAAUUUAUGUUUCAAACUGAUUGGAGAUGUACUUAAGAGUGAAUGUUCAGUUGUUCAAUAGUAAUGUUAUCUUUGAAGUUAAUGUAAGUGAGUGAGUUCUGGCGAGAGUCAGGCAGACGAUUCGCUAACUUCUAGAGUAGACCCUAGGAGAAGGUGGGGCCGUCACACUUUAGAAUUGUCAAUUUCUGACAAAUUCAAAGCAAAAUUUUUGCCUCUUAUUUUUACUGAGAAAAGUUCAUUCCCAGCUGGAUCAUGUAUAAUACAAGUCCUAUUUUUGAAGAUGAUAGAAUAAUUCUUUUCCAAUAACUGUCCAACACUUAAUAGAUUUUGAUUAAUUUUAGGUACAUACAAAACAUUAGAAAUAAUUUUCGUACCUGAACCAUAAUCAAUAGCAACACUACCUUUGCCUUUCACCUCAAUAUAAUCUCCAUUUCCAAUUCUGACUUUGGAGAUUUGCGAUUUAUCAAGUUUCCUAAAUAUAGAUUCAUCAUAUGCCAUGUGAUGAGUGCAACCACUGUCUAUUAGCCAAGUUUCAGUAUUGAAAUUAUUGCUUGCAAAACAUGUGGCCAUGAAAAGUUGCUCCUCAUCUUGUUCAUCAACCAUCUGAACGUGAUGUUCUCUUUUUCCUUUAUUUUUGCAAACUCUCUCCAUAUGUCCCAUUUGCUUAUAAAACCUACAUUGAAUGUCAGAUCUAAACCAACAAUAUAAUGAAAGAUGUGAGGUUUUCUUACAGUGUGGACACGGAGGAUUUCUGCCAUUUUUCUUCUCAUCUUUGCUAUUUUUUUCUUGACAAUUUCUUUCACCUUGUCGAAUUUGAUCCUUGUUUAUUGCUUGAAAAGCACAUUCAAUGACUUCUUCACUUCUUAUUGCUCGUCUUUGUUCUUGUGCCUCUAGAGCAUUGAUCAAUUCUGGCAAGGUCAUUCGAGAGAGAUCUCUUGAAUCUUCAAGAGAGGAAAUCUUGACUUCAAACCUUUCUGGUAAACUCACCAAGACUUUCUCCACAACUCUGCUAUCUGGAAGUUAUUCUCCAAUUAAUCUGAUUUUGUUCACAAUAUUUAAGAGUCUGUCAGAAUACUCUUUAAUGUUUUCUUUGUCUUUCAUCCUAAGGAGUUCAAAUUCUCUCCUAAGGUUCAAAACUUGAAUCUGUCUUGUUCUAUUAUUGCCUUGAAAAGCCACUUUGAGAGCAUUCCAAGCUUCUUUUGCAGUUUCACAAGUCAUAAUUUUUGUGAAUACUGCAUCGGAAACUGCUGAAUGAAUGCAAGUCAUGGCUUUUGACCUCCUUUUGACUGCAUCUCUAUGGGCUCUCAUCUCUGCAAUAGUUGGAUCUUCUGACAAUUCAGGAACAGGAUCUAUCUCUACCACAUCCCAAAGAUCAUUAGCAUCCAAGUAUGACUUCAUUUUGACAGCCCAGACUUGGUAAUUUUCACCAGUAAAACUUGGAGGAUUGGAUAAGAAGUUGUUUCUUAGCAUUUUGAUGUUGAGGACUUAAGUGUGAAAAAGGAAUUCUCACCAGAUUCACUCACUCUCAAAGAAACAGGCCCUUAAGAUUUAGGCUCUGAUACCAUUUUAUUAGUUUUUUGGGGCAUAAACUAAGAAACAACACCCUAGUGUUGCAAAAAAAACUUAUAAGAGACUUGUAUUGAAGGCAAAAAAUGAGCUUAUGUUCUACAUUCAUCAACUCACUAUUUAUAGUGAUUACAUGAAACAAACUAGCAAAAUAUUCAACUAAUAAUUAUCCUAAAAAUCUCAACAAAAAUAUAAUCUUCUACUACUAGCAAAUCUUAGCUAAUAUAUUUGUUAACAAACCAACAUGAUCUUUGGUUAACAAAUAUCCUUAUUUUUUAAUAACUAAAUUAUUUUGAUAUCAAACCCAAUAUGAUAAAAUCAGUAGGAAAAGUUGGCAUAUCUCAACAUAAUUUUGUGGGAUAGAUUUUAUACUUUAUGGGAUAAAAUGUCCAAAAUUGAAGUACUAAAAUAGGAAGGAUUUCAUAUUUUAGGGAGGAAAGUGUCUAAUAUUAAAAUUUAAGGACUAAAAUGAGAGUGUGUUUAUAAUUUAAGUGUCUAAAAUAGAAUUUAGCCUUUUGUAAUUAACAAAAUCAAACUGAUGUAAUUUGCUAUUCCAUUAUUAACCCCUAAAUGAGAGGAAUAGAGGCCUGUCCAGUUAAUUUUGUCCAAUUCUGUCCAAUUAUUGUAAUUCGUACAACUUUUGCAUAAAUUCAUACAACUAUGAUGCAUUCCAGGAUUAGUCACAAGAAUUCACCAAAUACUGUAAGAUUUACACAAUUAGAUAGACUGGAUAAAAGUAUAACACAACAACAAUGGGCACCACUCUCUAAAAUGAGAUCUCUCUCUAGUAGAGACUCCUCUCUCCAGUGUGGGAGCCAAAAAGUUUCAAACUUUCCAAAAUUCAAAACUUCAAAAUCAAACACUCCAAAUUUCAAAACACAGGCUCCAAAACCGUGUCCAAAAGCCGCCAAUCCAAUAUGUCCAAGUGAUCCAAAGCACAAAAUACACAAAUCUUUUAGCAAACUACCAAACAACUAGUAUCAGCUCUAAAGUUAUAGUGGAGGUUGUCUUAGCAGCGGGAUGCAAGCUUAACUCUGUCCCCAUUAUUGAACUCAGGAAGCAUUGGUAUUGUUGGUCAUGGGGUCAUAAAAGCAGCUUAACUCCACUUGUUUAGAAGUUUUAACUUUUGUUUUCUGGGCUUUAUACUCUUUCCUUGUUUUUGUAUUUAUUCCGUUUCAAUUGUGUUUCCUCGUGGUUAACUCAGGUUGAUCUGACUCUAAUACUCCCAAGAAGUAGACAAACCUGAUCCUAGCAGUUGCAAUUGAUACAGGCACCAUUGAGAAGCACUGCAGUAUGGCGGAGACCCUUACAAAGGCAUUCCAAAGGUUUGAUCUAAGCAACAAAGAAAUGGAAGGAAUAGAUCUGGCGAUAGAGGAUGUGCUAGCUGGAGUUGAGGAAUGUAAGUUGAGCUUGGUAGGAAGAAUCAUUGGAGAGAAAGUUGCAAAUUUUACAGGGGUAAAAAACUAUGCAUCACACGUGUGGGCUACCCCAGAAACUUGUAGGUUAUUGAACUAGUCCCAAAUGUCUUCCAGUUUAACUUUGAAGAAGAAAAAGACAAGGAGAAAGCUCUGAAUGGAAGGCCAUGGGUUAUUGAUAACCAGUUACUAGUUAUAAAGCCAUGGGCACCAGGUAUAGAGAGGAGCCUUCCAUAUAUCUCACAUUUGGAUCCAAGUGUGGAACCUCCCAAUCCACUGGUUGAGGAAAGCAGUGGGCUUUAAGAUCAGACAAAUGUUCUCCGUAGUGAAAGAAGUUAUCAUCACACUAGGAGGAGGAAAGGAGGGGAGGCAUAUGAAACUACUGGCAGAAAUUGAUAUAUCACUACCAUUGGGAGAGGCACCACUAUCAAAUUCAAUGGAGACCCAAUCUGGGUUGAGUUUAGAUAUGAAAAAUGCCCAAAUUUCUGCUACAAAUGUGGAAUAAAAAGGCAUGGAGAUAAAACAUGCAAAACAAGUGUGAAAAAAGAGCAUAACCAGAGAGAAGAACAAUUUGGGGCAUGGAUGAGAGCACGGAACAUCAUGGCUUCUCCUCUUAGGGCCAGCAGAACAUCAGAAGGAGGCAUAGUAGGGAGGGUAGAAGCACAGAAGCAAAAAGAGAUUAUGCUACAAGAGGGAGUAGGGGUGAGGGUCCAGAAAAGUAGGAUAGAUAUAAAUCAAGAGAGUAGAGAAGAGGAAAUGAGGAAAAAUGAAAGGAGUAUGGAGCAGAAAGAGGAGAAAAAUUCAAAGGAAGAGGGAGAAAAAAUAAAAAAAAAUUGAGGGAGUAGAGAGGGAAGAGGGAGUCAGUAAAGGUAUGAAGGUACAAAGUCUGAGAAUGAAUAAGGGAGACAUAGAACAAAAGGAACAAAAAGAAAAUGAAAACAAAAAAGUACUUGAAAUACUCCAAGUGAUGGACACGGAUGAAUGUGAAAAGGAAAGUGGGUUGAACAAAAAUGAGGGACAAAGGGUUGAGGAAAACCAAAGGAAUAAGGUGAAAGAGCAGGAUAGAGAUGAAAGGGGAGGAGUACAGCCAAGGAGGAGGUCAUGCAUCACAAAAAAGCCUCUGGCUGAUAUCACAAAUGAACAAGGAAAGCCUAGGAUGAGAGGAAAGAGGAAGUUAACAAGUGAUCGUGAGGACUUGUAAAAUUCUUCAUAUUUUCUUAUAAUACCCUUUUAUUUUGAGUAAUUUACUUUAUAAUAUCUUUACUACUAAAUUACUCCCUCACUAGUUGGAAUAAAUAAUAGAAUCAAGAGUUUUAUCUUUACUUUUAUAGAUAGGGUAAACUAAAGUUUUUGCGUAUUUUGGUAGUGUGAUUAAUUGGUAAGGAGUGUGCACUAAAUUUGGUGGGUAAGAGUGAGUAUUAGGUAGGAGAAAGUGUGUGAUUAGAAGUGCUAAUAAUAAGUGAGUGAAUCACAGGUUAAAACACAAGUACGAGAGAGUUAAGGAAAAUCGGUUUGAACCGACGUGCACCGUUUGCUACCGAUCGAAUACACCAUUUAACCACUACUUUCUUGCCCUAAUCCUCUUAUUUUUAUUUGAGCUAAUCAGCCCUAAAAUAUCCCCUAAAGUAUCCGAAAUUUUGGACCAAAGAAAAGGGAGAAAAGAAAAAAAAAAAGAAGCCAUCUUGGUGCGACACUUGUUGGCAAUCCAUGAAAGUUUGACCAAGCUAGUUUCUUUCCUUCUUAUCUUUUUUCUUGGAUCAUUUUUCUUCAUUUUUCCUUCAUCUUGGCCAUGACUUUGGAGAGAAAAAAGGAGAGGAGAAAACUUCAAUUCCAACCUUGAUUCUUCCUUGUUUGAGUUAAAAUCUCAAAAACUAAACCGAUUAAACCUUCACCUUGGUACUAAGGAAGCUUGUUAUGGAGUUGUUUGGAGAGGAAAGCUUUUGUUCUUCACUUUCUUCAAGAGUUUUGGAAGGUAUAAGUCUAAAACUCCCUUUUAUCUUUCUUAAUCUAGCUAAAUAUGCUAUAGAAGCUUUUAAUCUUGGCAUCUGAUGGAUAAUUUUCUAGUUUUUGGUAGUGUAGUGAAAAUUUCAACUAGGGUUUAUAUUUUCAGCUUUGAUUAUUGAUGUUUAACUAGCAAAUGUGUUAUUGAGCUUGGAAAUGGAAUUUGUGAAGUGAUUAGUGGCAUGAUUGUUACUUUGUAGAGUUGAAAGUUCAAUUUCCAGCUUUGGCAAGUAAAUUCCAGCAUUUGGUGGCGAAUUUCAGUCAAUUCCAUAGAUUGCCGGUAGGUGUAGGAGAUGAACUAGAACCUGAUUUUUAUACCGUUGGAAACCUCUAUGAAUCUAGUUUUAAUUGCCGCUGACGGAGCUCAAUUUCGAUUUUUCUACACCAAGUUAUAGCCAUUGUACCAAAACUAUUCAGUUAUCCUGUUUUGGCUCCGACGGAAUUUAUAUGUCUCUGCUUUUGUCAAUUUCGACCCUAAUAAUGUUUGAACUGGGGUUUGAACUGGGGUUUGAUGUCAAUUUCGACCCUAAUAAUGUUUGAACUGGGGUUUGAUGUCAAUUUCAACCCUAAUAAUGUUUGAACUGGAGUUGAGGCCUAUGUCUUAGCUUCGAAAGCCAUCAAAUUUGCCUCGAUUCGAUGUACCUAACUACAGUUAUGACCAAAACACCGAAGGAUGACAAAUCUGCCACUUAUAAUUUCUUCUUUAAACUGGUUUCCACCUUUGAUAUCCAUGGUAAUAAGUUUAUUAUUUGGUUUGUUUGGUUGGUUUUGAGGCCUUGAAUAGAUGUAUGUUGUUGGUUAUUACUUGUGGUUAGAUUGGAGGUUUGUUGGCUUGUGAAUCCAAGUUGUACUUGGAUGGGAAAACUAAGAAAAUAGGGGAAAUUCUGCCCAAAUUUUCGCCCGAAGGAUAAGUGAGUGAACUUGAAACUUGAGCGAUGAUUUGAGAUCGAAAUGAACUUGGAUUGUCUAUGGUAUUCAAGUUUCCGUUAGUAGACGUAUAUAAGCUGAAAUUUUACCAAAACUCGUACUCUUUAAAAGGUGAAAGUAACGAUCAUUAGAAAGACAUUUUCCUCAUCUUUUAGACCAAGUUCCGAACUUAAACGUUUUAAUUGCUUCUUUAUCAAAACCAAAUGAGCGAGCAUGAAUUUUCUAGAGUGUGACAAGUGAAAUGAAUACUACUUUAACGAGUUUCAUUUAUUUGCUUUUUGUGAUGCCCCGAAAAAAAAAAUGAGUUUGAGAAUCCAGAAAUUUUCUAAUUUUCUAGGGUUCAUUUUUUUAACGCCCGCCUUUUCUACAUUUUCUUGAUUAGAAAAAUUCCCCAGAUAAAGUUUAUGAGCAAAAAUAGUUUUAAAAUGAAUUUUCUUGUAUCGGUUAGUUUUUGAGAAAUUAAGAGCGUAUUUGGAACGUGGGACCCGCAAGUGCGGUAAAUGCAUUAUAUUUUUGACAACUUGUUGGAAUUUUGUAUUAAGUGAUAUUAUUUUACAAGGUGUUAAGAUAUUUGUCUUGGAGAGACAAGAAGAUAAUCUCAAGCUUAAAGGGUGACAAGUGUCACCUUGUUAUUGAAGGUUGGACUUUGACAUUUGACUAUCUUACUACCUUUACCAAAUAAGUACCCAAAUUGAUCCAAAAUUACCUUCAUUCUUCAUCAUCUUGGCUGAGCUUUCAUUUCUUGCUCCAAUCAAACAAUUUAACGAUUAAACUUGGAUUUCCUCCAUAAAACCUCUUAGUUAGUGGUAUUAAGUUGGUUGUGAAGUUUGGAAGACCAAGGUGCUAAAUUGCUUCCUUUCUUGAGUUGGUAAGGUGAGUAGCUAAGGAACCUCUCUUUUCUUCUCAAUCAUGUUUAAUUAGUGGCUUAUGUGAGUUAAAGAGAUGGUUUGAUGAUUAUAUCUUGAUUUUGGUUGAAUUGGUGAAGUUUUAUAAUUAUUGGAGAUCUUUCUGUUUUAAUAUGAACAUGGUUGUGUAGUGAUAUAUGAUGAUUGGAAAUGAUGUUUAAAGACUCUAUGAGGUGGAAAAAGUGGUCAAUUGCAAUCAAUUUCAGUUUUGGAAGAAAUUUCAGAAAAUUAGGGUUCUUGAGGGAGCAUUCUGUCCGAAUUUUUAGCUCCUAGUUAGAGGCCGAAUUGGCCUUGGUUUAAAACAUGAAAGUUGUAGGGAAUGACAUUUUAGAGGUGCCUACAAAAUUUCAGGUCAAUCGGAGUAGUGUAGAAUGAGAAAAGUCGAAAUUACUAUUGCUGUCCUGGUUUUACCCGAAUGCUAGAAUUGCGCCUGUAAUUGGUUGUUUUGGCUGGAAUUGCUUCCGAAUUAGUUGUUGAGGCCUUCUGAUGAAAUUUAGCCCUAUUUCUUAGCUAUCAGUUGGUUUUGGAAUUUCUGGAUUUGGACUUGGAGAACCUGAGUUAUGAUGUUUCCGCUAGAAUGCGUUCUGUGAAGCUGUUUUUGUGAUUCUGGUGUAGUUUCUUGUGUUUUUGACCUGGUUACACUCGAAACUGGGUUGAGUGACCUUCUGUAAUAUUGUAACCCUAUCUCUUAGCUUUGAAACGGUGGGUCUUGCACCUUCAUCCGAUAAUCGUAGUGCCUUUGGUACCAUUACCGCAAAAUGACGUCAAAACCUGUUUUUCUGGUUUUGAGUUUAACUUUCAUUUCUAGACUUUUUCCUAGCUUGACUUGUACUAGUACUACUUGGAGUUUGCUGAAUGGCUAUUGGAUGAACCUGUUGUUGUGUGUGUACCUUUGGGUUGGAAUGAGGAAAUCAUGAAGCCAUGACGGCUGGAAAAGUAAGCAAAUUUAGGGGAAGUGCUGUCCGAACUUUUAAAGGAUUUGUUUGCAUUGAGUUUGUGAUCUAAGACUUGGGUUUGAGCAAGGCAAUGAUACAUGAUGGAUGAUUUCUGAGCCAUUGAGGUGAGUGACCUCAAACUAUUUCUAAAGUUAUUUAUGAACCGUUUUUUUUGCUUUAUUUACCUUUAAACUAUUUCCAAUGUUACUUUUGAACUGUUUUCUUGCAUAUCAUGCGUGCUUGCAUAUGAGUGUUCCUUGUUUGCUAUAUCACUUGAUUUAUUGGCUUGUUAUUAUUGAUUGAUAAUAUGUUAAGUGCUUUCAAUGAUUGUUAAAACGAGUUUUCUAGGCGAGUGUGUACUUUAUCGCACUCGAUCUAAAUAAAUAUGAAAUUUUCAAUGAUUAAUUAUUAAAUGCUAGUUGCGCAUGAAUGUAAGCCGUUUGGCUGAAUUGGGCCCUGCCCUUCGUUACCGAUCGACUCGAGCCAGAAGCGGACUCGGUCGGGCGAUAUGGUGACCCUGGGUGAAUUUGGUAUACUCGAGUAUUACCUUGUAGUCCGGCUACGUCCGGAUGGGUGGAGUCCGGCUACGUCCGGAUGGGUGGAAACCGGCCAACGUCCGGAAAAAAAAACGAUGAACAAAUAAAAGAUGAACGAGGGAUUAUUUAUAAAAAAAUGAACGUAUCCUUUUCAUGAAUGUUACUCUCGCUUUCCAUUGUACAUGUUUCUUGAAUUAUUGAUACUCCAUAUUUAAUGUUUUGUAAAUGCUGUAAUCGUUAUUGGACUUAUCAUUUGAUCUAUGACAUCAUUGAUUUAUGACAUCAUUGAAAAGAAAUAUUGGGUCUGUUUGGAUUGUAAGUUAUUUGGGAUUAUUUGAGAUAUUUUUACUGUAGCACUUUUUGUGAUGUGAUGUAUGUGAGAUAAAAAGAUAUUGGAAAGAUAAAAAGGUGUAUUGGAAAUUGUAAAGAUGAUGUAAGCAAAUAAAAUUGGGGAAAUAUGAAGCAAUCCAAACAAACCCAUUGUUAAAUCGAUUUGAUUACUGAUUUUCUGGUUACUCGCUGAGCUUUUAGCUCACCCCAAAAAUAUUUUAUUCCCCUCCACAGGGCUCAAGGCGAAGGCAGGACUUGUUGUGCUUAUUCACGUGAAUGGAUGGCCUAUAUCUUGUACAGUUUUGGAUUUGGAAUCAUUUGAUGUAUAGUUGGGAAUUAGUUUCCGCUGCAUUAGUGACAUGUAAUUAUUGGAGACUUGGAUGUAUAUUUGUGGAUCAUGUGAUGUAUAUUUGAGCUUUAUUCUUGUAAUUCAUUUGAGAACUUUAGUGAACGACUGAGUCCCGGCGAGAGCCGGGCAGGCGGCCCGCCGAACCCUCUGGUUCGCGUUAGGGGAAGGUGGGGCCGUCACACUUUUCGUUAAGCGAAACUCUUAUAUUUUGAACCCUACUUGCCUUCAAACUGUUAAACGGUAUUUUAUCGCUGAUUUGGACUCCAACCAGGGAGUUGAACAUGAGCGUGAUUUUGAAAAGCAAGUGUUUUCAAGUGCAUGAUUGAACUUGAUAUUUGAAAGAAAUUCUGGACUUGUUUGAAUGGGCAAGGGUGUACUUUAUCACACUUACUCUAAUGUGAUUUCUUUUUGUUUACUGGUUAUUAUUGACUUGAUAUACAUGUUUACAACUUGAAUACUACCUGAGAUCUUGUAUUUGACUUGUAAGUGUUGAGCGGUAGCAUGUACCACACUCAAUCCGAGUGGGAGGUGCCUCUCAUCCCGUCUCACUCCUUGGAUCCAGACCCUAUUGGUUAGUCAGUCGAAUCGAGCCAGUAAGAGAUUGGUCGAGGAAACUGGCGAAACAUAGGUACUACUGUCUAUUGUUUAUUGUAUAAUCCUUUGGAUUAGAUUCACUAGAUUCGAUAUACUCGACUAUUACCAUCACUCUUAUUUUGAAUUUCGGGUCCGGUAGGAGGUUGAUUGGUGGAUGGAAAUUGGUGUAAAGUAGAGAUCUACGGUCAUGGUUUAUUUCUUCAAAUGUUGACGGAGUGUUAACGGGUUCGGAUCAAAUAAUGCAACGGAAUUUUGGUUCUUGAGAGCCAUCUGUAUCUUACACUUUGAGAUGAUUAUUACUUGUAGUGUUAUUAUUUUUUUUUAAAAACUUUACACUCGCUUAUUUUGAGAUUUGCUACUUGAAGUAUUAUUGCUCACUUUUAUGAACUUUUAUACUUGCUACUUUGAUAUUGCAAGUUUUAUAUAAUGGUCAAUUUGCUAUUUGGAUUUGUCUGAAGUUUUGGAACCUCAUUGAGUUUUGACUCACUCUAUUAGAAUCUUUUGUUUUCCUUACAGGGGAUACGAGCGAGAGCGUGAAGCUGAUACAGGCUAGCAUAGUCUAUUUGUUUGAGAUUUUGGCAAUUGUACGCGCACUAGUGCUCGAUUAGGGUUGAAUGUAUUUGGAACUCAAAUCUUUUGUUAUAUUUGGGGAUUGUAUGAAUGAAUGAAUGUAAUUAUACGUUCUAAGAUUAGGAACUGUU